UUUUUUUUUUGGUUUAUGGUUUACAGUACGGUCUCUUUUUUGUUCUCCUUUUUUAUUCUUGGGUAUAAAGAGACCGUACAAUGGUCAGGUUUCUUGGGUAUAAAAUAGUUUUUGUUCUCCUUUUUUAUUUCUUGGUGAGUUCGAUUUUUAUUCUUUUUCUUGAGAUUUUGAUUCGAAAAUUUCGGGUUGAACUGAAAUUAUCGACUGGACGAAAGCCCAGCCCGGCCCACUGUAAACCGCUGCUGGUGCUGUUGUACUGUCGACCAGCCCACCACACGCUCACAGAGAGCAGGCGGUGGCGAGCCGCCGCCAGGCACCACGGUCGGCGGCCCCUCGCUCCUCCGCCGCCGCCUCCCCUCCCUCCGGCACCGAACGGGCGCCGGCGCGCCCUCGGGGUGGGUGCUGCUCGUGCUCGUGCUCGGCGCCCCCGCUUCCCCGACUUCACGGCCACCUGCCUGCAGGUGAGAAUAAAAUUGCCUGCCGCUCUUCUGCUAGUGCUGCACGGUACACACUCUGAUUAUUUUAUCUUGUCACUUGUUCAGAUCAUCAGUUGGCCGGGAGCUGUGAUGUGACGGCCAUACCCUUCUACUCCACUACGCUAGUGUCAGAAACGCUCUUAUAUUAUGGGACGGAAGAAGGAUUCUAAAUAUAUGAGAUUCAGAUAUACAGAGAAUCCUAACACCGACAGUGGCAACAAAGGUGAAGAACCAUGCGCCCUUGAGUGCAACGAUGCUAGCUAGUGGCAUACGUUGGUUCUGCUUGUGCUUUGCUCCUAGAAUUAUGUCGUGCGGAGCCGCAGAUUGAAUAGCAGCCACUGCCAGUUGUUCUGUUAACUUGUUUGCCUCUACUGUUUUACUACCUACUACCACUAGUACACAACACACUAGUGAUGAUAAAAGCAAAGUAUUGAUACCCUAUAAACUGAAACCCCGUAGAUUCCUGUGUUGUAUGUUCGCUUGUCUAGCUCUGUUUCCUUUCCUUUCCUUUUCUUUUCUUCUGCACGACUGACCCUAAAUAUGUAGUGUGGAUAUGAUCUCCAGUGUCCAAAUGCCGAACACAGCGCAACUUGCAAAAUGGUCUCUCUCUCUCUCUGCAUCUAUGCUUGAAGAGACAGAGGGCAAUGCUUUUUCUUUAGGGAAAGGAAAGUACAGUGCUUGAAAGAACUAAAGAAAAAAGCCCGCAAAACAGAUCAGGAAUGAGUGACAUUAUCUGCAACUGCAGGCAAGGAACAAUGUGCUUUGGGGAAAACACAAAAGCAAAGUGGGGCAAAACAAAAAGCUCAUACCAUCACCACUGCACCAUCUCAUGCUAAUUGCCCCCCAACUUGCACUACACUCUGUUGCCGAGCUCUGCCAGCUACGCGCAAGCGAAAACUUCUUUCAUCUCCAGCUAAACCAGAUGAUCAAGUGAUACAUCUUCACCUUGGACUGGAGGAUGGAUGGCUUCGACUAAGUAAAUCAGCCUUUUUCUUGUUUUGCAGCAAAUCUGCGGCCGAUGGGUUAGACAUGUUUUUCUCAUGGAUUUCUUGUGCUGCUGUGCUGUUAGUUUUGAUUUGAGGGAGAUGAUGGAGUGAGCUGCAUCUGGAAUAAUGGAUUUUUUGGAGAUAACUUUAUUUUUAUGUGCAACUCUUCUUCACUCGUUGAAAUGAUCCGCCUGCGGCUCUAGAGGUAUUCUUACUCUCUCCGGCAUCAGAAAAGUUGACGUUUUAGACAUGAUUUCACGUACAGAAGCUGUUUUUUAUAUUUAUUCUCUCCAUACUAACUCCGCAACUCACUAAUUCUUGGGUAAUACUUUCUACAAUUUGCUUCAACAUCAGCAUUUUUUAAUACUGGAGGAAUAACAAUGCAUAUUGUGUAUAGACAUAGCAGAUCGUCUUGCCAUAAGUUUUGUGUUUAAUCUGCUUCGCGGACCAAGAGAUGUUACAAUCUCAGCCGGAUCUGCCUUUUAUUUUUAUUUUUUGGGAAAAAACGACCAGAUUAGGAAAUCUUUAUAACUCAAACCCAAAAUUCCAAUUUUCUUUCUGUAUAGCUGUUCCCCUGAAUAUCUAGAAAUAUAGAGCCCGAAGUAGAUUUUUUUAAUGAAGAAACGAAAUAUACAUAAAGAAUGCACCUUUUGUGAUUUUUUUGUUGCAACGGUGUAUAUGUAAACACAGAUUUUUUUUAAAGUUAAACAUGUUGCAAGCAUGGAUUUUGAGUCGCUCGACUAGUUACAACGCAGGCUCGACUUCUUCCGAGUUGCUGCCCCAGAGCGACUCGCAUGGGUCGCGACUCGAAAACCAUGGUUGCAAGAACUAGUCUCUUAGUGUGUAUACAUGCUUAAAGGAGGAAGAGACAAACCCUGCUGUAAAGAAAGGCCACAAAAAUCUGCGACGUGGGACGAUGCCAUAAGCUCCCACCAUCAUCAUACACCUGAUUAUCGACUGAUAUCACUGCUCAAUCUUGCAGUUCAUUAUGUUGUUACCAAGCCCCGCCACCAUCUAAGAAGAACAAGUGGGUUUGUUUUUCCAUUUCGAGUGAUAUUUCUUCACCUGGGACUGGAUUUCUUUGGGACAACUUCUCCUUUCUCUGCAAGUCUUCUUGGCUCCUUGACUUGAUAUCUAGGUACUACAAUUGCAUCUCGUAUGUAUAUAUACAAGCUUGUUUUUUCAUAUGUAUUUCUGUGAUGCCACAUCGUGAAUCUGACGAGCAUCUAACUUUUGUAGACUGCGGGCCAGUGGGUUACAAGCACACAGUCAUGGUUUUCUUCUGCUGAGGGUAAUUAUCGGUUUUACUGUGGAGCUUCAGAAUGGCUGCUGCACCACCUGGACCUACUCUGAAAGGGCAUACUCUGGUUGGUACCUUUUCUUAAAUUUUUUUUUUGAAACGAGGCAAAAGACUUGCCAUUUUCAUUGAUUAAGAAGAAGAAUUGUCCGGUUAAUUGACGGAAAACCGGGCUAAAACCGAUACAACACAACCCACAUGACAUGGGCACCACCGGCCAACCUGGCCACCGACAUGGAACAGAAGCCACGACGGCACAUGCCAACGGAUGGCCACACACGCAAGCAACUGACAGCUCUGACUUUGACAACGAGCAACACAGGGGAAAUAUGCAGGACUUGCGCCGACCGUGCCGAAAAGAGCACCUCGGACACGCCGGGAAGAACCGACUACCGAAGACCACGCCGCGACCCAAGAUUCUCUCGACGCCAUCAUCGUUGCCAAACAGAAACCAGCGCCCCGCCUCAGCAAACCACGCGGCGAAGAUGCCGCCAUCGACGGCGAAGAUGCCAUCAUCCUCCAGUCUCUCAGUCGUAGCCGGCUCCGAGACGAUGCCCCCAAGGAGGAGAAAGACGCGAAGACGCCUCCAUCGCCCGAUCCAACGGAUCUGAGGUUUCCCUCCGGAGCCCAAGCCGUGGGGAGAAGGAGCAACUCCACGAAGACGCUUCCAAGAAAGAUCACGGCACCCGCGGGCGCCGCCGUCGCCGGCUCCGGUGAAGAUCGGAGCAAGGAUUUCUCCCGGAGAUGUGCCGACCACCUGUCACCACCGACCGCCGCCCACUGACCACCACUCCUGCCGAGGCCGACCUCACUCUGGCCACGGGAUCCCACGAUCCACCGCGACCAGAUUCGCACCACCUCCUGGCCGAAGCCGCCACCACCAUACCCGGGGCCGCCGCCCCGGAGCCCAAGAGCCGCCACGUCAUCGUCAUCACCGUCGGCAGGAGCCCGGCCAGGCCCGACGGCAUGGAGUCCACAUCGCAAAUCUGGAGGCAAGGGAGGGCCUGACCAGACUACGACCUCGCCACAAGCCUAGCCUCGGUGGGCCGAAGGACUGCCAAAGCCGCCGCCGGAAGGCUAUAGUCGAGCCGCACCAGAUCUGAACCGCCGGAAGCCGGAGCCGCACGAGCGAGAUAGAGUGGUCGCAGCCGCCUAGCCUCGACCCACCGCUGGACGUCGCGAGGCCGCCGCCGUUGCCGCGCCUACUCGCCACGCCGCCCAGCCGUCGCGCCACCGGAGGAGCAGCCGCCUCCGUGGGACCCGCAGCCUGGACCACCACCAACCCGAGCGGGGGACAAGGCACGCCAAGCCGCAUGCAGUGCACCGUCCACCGAGCCGCCGAGCUACCCACGCCGCCACCACCGGGCCCAGCUUCGCCGAGCCCUCGAUCCGCCAGAACGCGCGCCGCCCCUACUCCCGGACCACUGGAUCCGCGCCAGCCAUCGCCGGAGCCGCGCCCGCUCGCCCGCUAGACCCCGCCGAGCUCAUACGCCAGAUCCGCCCGUGGGCCACCCUGAGAGAAGCCCCACCGCCACCCUCCCUGGAGCCUGACCGGGCUUUGCCGGCGGGCUCCUCAGGCGGCGGCGAGGUGCUGGGGCAGAGGGGAGGAGGAAGUAGCCGGCGCCGGUGGUGUUCCCCCGUGUCGCCCGAGAGAGGCGACGCGGGGGUCGGGGACAGUUACAGUAUAUGAUAUUGUUGUUAGAUUAUGAAGCCUCCCAAACUUGUCUGUUUGGAGCGUGACUACCUCUCCUCGUAGUUACCACACUCUUGCAAUCUCGUUCCUUGAGCAAUGAUGUUCAGGUGUGUAGAGCUGCCUAGUGCUUCAACAAAUUUUGGACUGCCGCGGCCCAUGAAAUACUAUUACUAGCAAUGGUUAUAUGUUUUGUGUGGGAAACAAUACUAUGUAAUGAGCAAGCAUAUAUGAACCGAUUAUUUUUAUUCAUCAAUAUAUUAGUUCCACACUAGCUAAACUUCUAAAUUAGGCACAUGUCUACACUGACCUGAGAUUGCAACAUGAGACAUUUGUUGUUUUAGCUUAUUAAUUUAGGAAAAUAGCUAGUAUUAAUUAAUGUUAUAGUGUCAACAUGUCUACUCAUUUGGCAGUCAUAUCUAACAGUCGUUAAUUACUACAGGUUGUAAAGGAUUUCGAUGACGCCGUCAAGCAGCUGAUUGAUUUUCUGCAUCAUGGCGGUGAUACUUCAGAAGGCAGAAUAAAAGCAUUCUUAUUUCAUGGCUGGUACGGUGUGGGUCUUGGAGCAUCCGCCGUUCUUAGAGCUACAGCAGAACACCUCAAAUCCAAAAGAAGCGAUCCAGACAUGAAACAGCAAUUUGGUAAAGUUGUCCACGUCGACUGCUCUCUGUGGAAAAAUAGAAGGACGAUGCAGCAGGAAAUAGCAGCAGAACUGAACCUUGUGCAUUUAAUGCCUAUUUUUGAUAAGCAAGAUGAGGACGAUGAUUUCAGAGGAGUAGAGGACAGUUCUAGAGCAGAGAUAACAAGCAUAGCAAGUGCGAUCUAUGAAUCUCUAAUCAAUGAAAAAUUUAUAUUAAUUCUUCAUUAUGGGGGAGAUGCAGAUAUUGAUCUGGCAGAGUCGGGCGUUCCUGUAUUUGGACCUUUCGGUAAAGCCAAGCUUUUAUGGACCAAUCAUGGAAGAUUUCAGCUCUCACAGAAACAACACAAGUUGUUGACAUCCAGUUUCCUUGAUAUAAACAUGCUUUUCAUUACCACAGACCACAUCUAUAUCGGGCAACAACUACGUUGUUUAUUGCACAAAGAAGCUGUUGAGGUGAUUAGUUACACGGGAAUGGAUGACAUCAACCCAGCAACUGUUGUGGAUUGCUUCUUGUACUCACUGUUGCUGGUAGGACAACUGGGUGAAAACUCUGACACUGUUGAGUAUGGUUGGGCCACUUAUGUUUGCAACUACUGGAUAUGUGACGGAAUCCUUCAAAAGGACAGAGCUUGGGAGGUUGGCAAUGCAUUAUAUGGAGUGAUAGGGCAAUUGCGCCAUUCUUCAGGUGCAAUAGAAACUCUAUUAUAUUGGUUGGACCAACAAAUAAAAUCCUACCAAGGCUGGAAGUCAAUUGCAUCAAACCAACAAGGAGCACAAAGUAUCUCUGUUGUUCCUGUUAAUGCAUCAUCCUAUUUCUUAACAUUUAAGGGAGAUGAUCUGCUACAACUACCGAAUGAUUUGUUUCAACUAGCCAACAACCUCCGUGUGCUAAAACUCUGCAAGUGCAGAUUUGAUUUUGCAUUGCCUCCUUUCCAAUCCUGCCACAACCUAAGGUUCCUUUGGCUUGACCAUUGUGCAAACACUGGGAAGGAGCAAGGUGGGGGAGCAUGUUUUCCAAACCUGAUAGUGCUUGACUUGCGUCACACUGAUUAUGCCUUGCAGCAGCAGAUGAUUGAACGGAUGACAAAUCUAAGAGAAAUAAAUACAAAAGGAGUCUCAUGGAGGAAUAUAAGUCAUGCAUGGAAAACAUUACAAAAUCUUCACAAGCUCCGACUAACAGAAUCUUCAGAUUUGAUCACAGUGAACAAUUGCUCUUCCUUGGAUAUGAUCAAUCUGGAGCUCCUUGACUUGUCUGGCAAUAUCUCUAUGGCAUCAUUGCCUAGAAUGUCAUCAGCGGCAAGCUUGAAGAUGCUUGUUCUUGAUGGUUGUUCCAACUUGGAGACCGUUGCAGUUGAAGGAGCUCUUCCAUUGCUCGAGACUUUUAGCUUCGAUGGUUAUGGCCCAACAGAGAACUGGGCACAUCCCAUAGAAUUACCAAAAAAAGAAUUUCGGCCAAAGUCUCGUGCAACUCCAAUCCAAGAAGCCAAGGUGACCAAAAUUUCCCUCAUGGGUUGUGGUCGAUUGCAUAGCAUAUUCUUGCGUGCGUUGGACAAUCUGGACGAGUUGGACCUCUCUGGUACAGCCAUAAAAAUGCUUGACCUUAGUGUCAUGGAUGCCCCAAAGCUCAGGAAGUUAUUAUUACUGGGUUGUCGGCAGCUCUUUAGUCUAGGUUGGCGUUAUAAUAACCCAUUUAGAUUGAAAGUGGUACAUGUAGACACUUGCUGGAGGAAAAGAUUAGUGGUAUGUUGUGCACGAGUGAGGGAGGAUUUCUUUCAUUUUGAGGCAUGCAUUACCCUUACAGAUGCAAGGUUCCUUUGGCGGUGCAUGGAGGGACUCUACUUACGUUCAUGGUGGUGCAUGCACAGUGGGGGCAAGUUGAAGUUGCACCUCCAUAUCUCUUCUACCAUUCAUAGCCAAAUCAACAUGACCAAAAGUAUCAAGGAGAUUGGUCCUAGCCAAGAGGGUUUUGCUCCCACAGGGCGAUCAUUACCUUAUGAUGAUAUUAUUAUCCUUUUGAAGGAUGUAGCAAAUUCAUCCCUUGUGUGCGACCAGAGGCAGCUUCAACCUCUCGAUGUGCAUAUAGAGAUUGGUGAUGAAGGCCACAAUUUGGAGACUAUGGACAAGAACCAGCAUUUCAGAUGGUUCGUUAGGGAUCAUGUUCAAUCAUUGCACGUGCAUGACAAUUCCUCAAUCGCGGCUAUCCCUCCAAGGGGCCCACAAACUUGGCUUGGCCUAACAUGGUGUCAUGUUGAGAGAUGUCCCAAGCUACGUUCACUCUUCUCUUGUAAGGCUAGAGAAGACAACUUCACUUCUUUAAGGACAUUUUCCGCGUCUGAUCUCCCGACGGCCUGCUGCAUCUGGGAUAAAACCAACCCCAAAGACCCUGAAGAUUGCAUAUACCUACGAAGUGCCUUCACAUCCCUACAUUCCAUAUACCUACACAAUUGCCCGAGGCUGGUGUUUGUCCUCCCGAUUUCCUUCACCUUGCCAAGCCUGGAGACCCUUCACAUGGCAUACUGCAGGAACCUGCAAUAUGUUUUCCCACUGGACAACAAGUACCCUCCAGAAAUAGCUUCUGGUGCCACAUUCCAGAACCUGAAGCACAUCAAGCUAUACCAUCUCCAUCGGCUGGAGCAGAUAUGCGAAGCCAGACUGACCGCACCGGCGCUGGAGACGAUCAGUCUCAGGGACUGCUGGGGCCUGAGACGGAUACCGGCCGUCGCUGCGCGUCAAGGUCCUAAGCCAGUUGUGGACUGUGAGAAGGAUUGUUGGGGCAGGCUCGAGUGGGACGGCCUGGAGGCCGGGCACCACCCGUCGCUCUUCGAAACGCUUCACUCAGCUUACUACAAGGAGGCGCUCCCAAGGGUCUCCGUUCUAAGGUUCGUCCCCCAUGGGCUACUAUUCCUUAUAUGCGUACACAUAUCUAGACUGAGCAUGCAUCAGUCACAGAAUUUGCCAUCUAUUAAGGUAUCCAAUUGACUUUUGUUGUUCGAUUCGUAGGUGAUGUGUUCCACCCCUCUGCCAUGUCUAGCUUGGUCAAUAAGAUGCAACCAAGGGAGGUCAGGCCACAUGUUUCUGUGUUGCAAGUGUGGUGUGUUCGUGUGCACUGUGCAGGAUACGUACGCUGCUAUGCACAAGGAAGAAUAAAUGGUGUGUUUUCACUUUUCAGCCCCAGGCUACCUGAUUUUGAGUAUGCUUGGAUUGGAUUGGAUUGUCGUGCGAUGCACUUUGGGUGCAGGGCUUUCUCCAGCUUGGUGUGGUGGUCACACCCAGCUGGUUUAUUUGUGAUGAUUGGCCAUUUGCUUGUAAUAAUAAGAUUGAGGUUGUGUGCAUGUGUGCGCGCGCACCAACCUAGCUAGUCUUCCGUGUGACUUUAUUGAUGAACCGUAAAUCCAGCUUGCAUUUGAUCAUAUGUAUAACAAUAUUGUGUGAUGAGUUGUUACAUGGUUUGCAAUUGUGUGGGUUUUGCGUGGCAGUGAUGUGGUGGUGCUGUUAUCAACCAAAUGGUGGUGCUGUAUAUAUGAAGCUACUCUAUGAUGAAGCUUUUCCUUUGACCAAAUGCUUCACAAGUGGCCAUAAACCUCUGUUUUGUUCUCCGGGAACCAAAUGCUCCAGGGACGAGAGCCAUCUGAGGGACGAGUACCGGCUGGGCGCCGCCACCUUCUCCUUUAGCACGGCCAGCCGAGAGUGGACACGGCGCGGGGACUGGCAGCUGCCGGCCCACGGCCACGCCCACUACGACGGCGAGCUGGGCGCGUGGCUCGGGCUCCACGCCGUCAGCGACGAAGGCGACAUGUAUCGUCACCGCGUGACGGACGGGCGCCUCUGCAUCGGAGACGUCACUUCCGAACCGGCCGAGUGAAAGGUCGGCAGAGAGCAGCUGUUCCGCCUGGAUGACGACGCCGCGGCAGGCUGGAGGCACGUCGAUGCCAAGCUCGUGCUCAUGGCGGCGAGCAAUGGUGACAGCGAGUACUGCAUCAUGGAGCGCCUACGACCCCAAGAAGGAGAAGGAGAAGGAGAAGGAGAAGAAGGUGGUAUUCAUCAACGGGGUCAACCAUUGGUACGAGAAGGAAGAGGAGGAGGAGUGUCUCCUCCGGCUCACCAGUUUCCGUGUCGACCGUGGCCAGGACGGCGAGCCGGUGGCCACGGCUCGCCGGGCACCUCGCUAUUACAAGGUGUUGAGUCACAAUAAGAAUUUUGAGGCUCUGCUAUAAUGCCAGGAUCAGUGGCUUACUGCUAUAAUACCAGAGCAAGUUGAAUAAAUUGUGGAGCCGGGAUAUCACCGAUGUAACAUCACAAACUAAAAGAUACCCCGUGCAUUGCGGCGGAAUUCCGAGGAAUAAAUUUUCACAGAAACUAAAGUACCAACUCUAUUAGAUACAUGUAAUAGCAAAUAAUGUAGUAAAGCGGAAGCUCCAUGUAUGUAUUGUCAGAUGGGCCUGUUUAGGACACAUCUAAAUGUGACAUAGUUAUGUCAAAACAUAGUUAUGUCAAAUCUAAACUGAUGUCCACUUUGUUUGAGGUCUAUUUUUGUUGUCCUAAUUUUUUUUUGUUACUACAUUAUAUAUUUGUGAGAGUUUAGAUGUGACAUCAUUAAAAAACAUAUAGAUGUGAAUUAGUCAAACCAUUGUUAGAUUAGUGAAGAAAAAGCGUCACCUAUUUUUUCACUGAUAACAAUUAACAUUUCCUAUCCAUACUUGAUGUAAGGCUGAAAUGGUUCAAUUUCGUAUCAUCAUCUCCACCAUUUACAUGUUUCCAUAGAUUGUCACAAUUUACAGAUUUGUUGCAUUACAUAGCAAUAAAUUGAGUAUUGUUACAUUUGUUGAUUUUCUGUACACGCAAGAGUGAAAUUUAGUAGUAACUAAAUGCUCUUCGUGAAGUCAAUCGGAAACCUCCAAAUUGGCGAAAUCACUAGUUAAGGAGUACUCGUUGCGAAGAUCAUUUCAACUCCCCAGGUCAUGACAAGUGGCGCGCGGCAUGUGCGCCACUUGUCGUAACACGGAAGUUUUCCCUUUUUUCGUACAUUCGUUUAUUCAAAAUGUUUUAUCUCUUAAACCGUGCGUCCAAAUCUCCAACCGCUUUUGCCAUUGGAUUUCUCGCGUUGAGAUCUUUAAAAGUAGAUCCUAUGUUGAUAGGUUUUGACGAACUUUUUUUCACAAAAAAACCGGACGAAAAAACCGUACCGAGAGCACGGUUUCUUUUUUCCUUUCCGAAAGAGGCACGCCCGUGCCUCUGACGAAAUCACAACCGUGUCUCUUGCGAAAGCAAAACCGUGACUCUCACGAAAGGAAAAAAAGAAAACACGUUUUUUUUCAUUUCCGAGGAGGCACGGCCGUGACUCUCAUGAAAGGAAAAAAAGAAAACACGUUUUUUUUCCAUUUCCGAGGAGGCACGGCCGUGACUCUCGCGAAAGCACAACCGUGCCUCUCGCCAAAGCAAAACCGUAACUCUCGCGAAGAAAAAAAACAAAAAACAUGUUUUUUUUUCUGANNNNNNNNNNNNNNNNNNNNNNNNNNNNNNNNNNNNNNNNNNNNNNNNNNNNNNNNNNNNNNNNNNNNNNNNNNNNNNNNNNNNNNNNNNNNNNNNNNNNNNNNNNNNNNNNNNNNNNNNNNNNNNNNNNNNNNNNNNNNNNNNNNNNNNNNNNNNNNNNNNNNNNNNNNNNNNNNNNNNNNNNNNNNNNNNNNNNNNNNNNNNNNNNNNNNNNNNNNNNNNNNNNNNNNNNNNNNNNNNNNNNNNNNNNNNNNNNNNNNNNNNNNNNNNNNNNUUUUUUUUCUGAGAAGGCCCGGCCGUGACUCUGGCGAAAGCACAACCGUGCCUCUCGCGGAAGUAAAACCGUGAUUCUCGCGAAAGAAAAAAAAAACAGAAAACGCGUUUUUUUCCGUUUCCGAGAGGCACGGCCGUGACUCUCACGAAAGAACAACCGUGCCUCCCGCGAAAGAAAAAAACAGAAAACACUUUUUUUCGUUUCCGAGAGGCACGGCCGUGACUCAAGCGAAAGCAAAACCGUGACUCCCGCGAAAGAAAAACGUGUUUUUUUGCGCAAAAAAAUUUUUAUUUUCGAAAAAAAUUUGGUCGAAAAGCUUGGGAAGACCAGUGAAAAACCAAAACGUCGAAAGCCCCCGAAAAAAACCAUUUAAAAAGCCCAAAACGCGUGUAGAAAACUAAAAAAACAAAAUUCGGAGGGAGCGUCCAGAGCACGACGCGUGGCGAAUGGCUGACAGCACACCAAGUGACGUUGAUCGUUGCGAGGCUCCCGAAGGAGCGUUCAUUAAUUAGUUAUAUGAAACGUAAAGCCCUCAAAUGACGGAAAAUACUUAGUGGGCGAAGUUUGUUCUCCCCUGCAUUUCAGUCUGAAUGCUACUGGAAAUAUUAGAUGGAUGUCAUAUGAAACGUUCAACAAAAUGUUAUUAGUAGCUAUUUGGAUAAAGGGGAUCAGACUUAAAAGCAAAACUUGCAGAAUUUGGAUACGUGUGUCUUCUUACUUUUGUUUAUUGUUGCUCCUUAUAUCUGUUAUAAUCUAACAUAUCAUCAGACAAUCUAGCAAGCUUGAACCAACAAUUUCAAAUAAGAAUGUAGACCAUAAAGCCACCAGUUACUAAAUUCAACAGAGCAUAGAAGUUGACAGCAUCCAUGUCAUACUGAUAGCCCUGUCCAAGCACCACCUGUGUGUCAUGAGCAAGCUGGUCAUGAGUAGGGAACAAAAAUAAAUUCAAAGAUUAGAAACUGAUUAGAGGUCAGGAACAAAUAAUUAGAGAAAACAAACUAAACUAAAUCUGAACUCUCACCAUCAAAUUCUCUAUUUGUAACUCACCGAAGAAAACAAACUGAACUAAAUCUGAACUCUCACCAUCAAGUUCUCUAUUUGUAACUCACCGCCAAUUUCUUCUGAUUCUCCUCUCCUCUCGGGUGUUGCUCUUCCAGACAUCACAGGGCAGGGACACGGGAGUCGUAGAGAUGGACGAGGUUGGUGGCAUCUAGGCUUUUGAGAGCAACACCCUCCCGAUGUGCGCGUUGUUCAUCUUAUCGAGGCCCGGCCCGGCGUCGCACCCGCGAGGCUGCAAAGAAAGCCAACUUUAGAGUCCAAUCUCACCAUCGGCAGAUCCGAUUUUGGUGGAGCGCGCAGGCGGAGGGCAACCAGGGGUCCUGGCGACAUUGAUGCGGUGUGAUGAUCUGCUCCUGUGCGGGAUCAAAAUCGCGAGAGAACCUGUAUAUAGGAGAAGACCACCGCGCCUCAUCUAUCUGUCAUCAUGAUCCAGGAAGAUAAACAACGAGAAUCCCUAGUGGCGGAGGGAGCACCUUUGGCUGGUUGAAGUAUAUGCGCGUGGUUAAUAAGGAGUUGGGUAGCCGCCUAGCGGGGAAAGGGAACGAUGGGUUCAAGAUGGUCGUGCCCCCUCGUUUAGAAACUGAUGCGACUCUUCACAGCUGAAACGGUGUGACGUGGCUUAAGGGAAUCACAACAAAAAUAGUUAGGCUGGUUGUAAUGUGAAGUAUUAUAUACUAGUAUCAUGCAUAUGAUACUAGUGUAUGAUACUACAUCCGUAAAGCAUGGUAUCAUAUGUUGGUAUCAUAUAGGACUAUAUUUAUUGACAUGCAUGACACAAAGUAGCACAUCAUUUAAUAUGAUACGGUAUCAUGAUAUGAUACUCAAGUCUCUUUUUUUUCAUUUAAUAAUAUGCCACCUCAUCAACAUUGCUUAAUUGGCAUGCAGGAUACUAUCUAUGAUACUCCCAUUACGACCAGCCUUAGUGGGUGAAAAAAUACUGACAUGACACAUCGCUGAUGUGGACAGUGUGCAUGAUAAGAGAAUAAGGAAUAGUGGAGAACAACUUCUUAAGAAUAAUAGAUGUGUGCCGGACCCCCUCAUAGAUGUGUGGUGUUCAAGUUCGUAUGUGAUAGGCCCGAAUUACAAAUCUGUCUCCGAUGUAUGACCAACGUCGAUGGGUAACCCGUUGACAAAGUCUUCUCUGAUGGGUUCUACUAUAUCAGCAUGCAUGUCUACAAUGGCCUAGUCGAUUCCAUAUAUAAAAGUUAACCUUAACCAGCGUGCCUCCAUUCCAUUUCCAACCAGAGUCCCUACCACCUCANNNNNNNNNNNNNNNNNNNNNNNNNNNNNNNNNNNNNNNNNNNNNNNNNNNNNNNNNNNNNNNNNNNNNNNNNNNNNNNNNNNNNNNNNNNNNNNNNNNNNNNNNNNNNNNNNNNNNNNNNNNNNNNNNNNNNNNNNNNNNNNNNNNNNNNNNNNNNNNNNNNNNNNNNNNNNNNNNNNNNNNNNNNNNNNNNNNNNNNNNNNNNNNNNNNNNNNNNNNNNNNNNNNNNNNNNNNNNGGAGAGGAUUGCUCCCUCGUCGUCCUCCCUCCGAUGGAGGCGGAAUGGUGACAUCAGGCGGUGUCAAACAUUCAGUCGUACUCCCUUUGUUCCGAUUUACUCGUCGUAGUUUUAGUUCAACGGAUAAAGAGCAUGGCACCGAGCUCCUGGGGAUGAAAAAAAAUGCAAGUGUCAAAUGCCAAGUGCAAAACAGUCGUUCAUGAGAUGACGAGAACACUAUAUUUUUUAAUAGGGCCAAUUUCAUUUUUUUCCCAAAUUUUGUCCCGACCUCAUCUUUACCCCUAAAAAAACAGUGCUCAACUUUGCCCCUCUUUUGUUAAAUGCGCUUAUAGAAAUGUCUACCCGUACAUUUUCCGUCCAGUCAAAGGCCUUUGACCGUUAGAGUGACCGUUAAGUGCGCCUUUAACUGGACGGAAAAUGUACGGAAGGGCAUUUCAAUAAGCGCAUUUAACAAAAGAGGGGCAAAGUUGAGCCUGUUUCUAUUUAGGUAUUUAGGGGUAAAAAUGAGGUCGGGACAAAAUAAGAGGGAAAAAUAUAAAUCUCCCUAUUUAAUAACAACAAAACCAUGUUUGGUUGGAGCUAAUUAGACAAGGGGAAUGGAAUGUUAAGGGUUCUAAGAUAUAAAGUAAUCAGUUUUUUUUUGCGAAUACGCAAAACUUGAGUAUCAUUCAUUGAUAGGUAAGAGAGAAAUAACAGAGGCAUACAUGAGAAAAUGAGAGGAGCACCACCCAAGGUGUGGGAAAAACAAAGAGAGAUACACACAGCACAAAGCUCUCCUAGCUUGAACUCUAGCCAACAAGGCAAAGAGACGAGAUACAAGGCAUCUAGACCGCGUCGCGACCGACGCCAAGCACCAUCAUCGCACGACCACAACUCCAGACCGGACCGGAUCAACGUACCUCCCACCUAUGUGCCUAGAGGAUCGGCAAGUGGGGUGCAGGACCAAGCCGGAUUGGAAGGAGAAGCCAUGGAGAGAGCAUGGUCGAGGCCGUACAUUGCGCCCUAGAUGCCCACGCCACGAGGAGCAUCCGACCAGCAAAGCGUCCACAAUCUUCGAAUCCAACACCGAGCAUACCACGAGCAGCAAGACGACGCCUUCAUGAAGGGUGCAAUGACGAGCCAUCGUCGUCUGAUCUACUAUAUCUAGGGUUUCCCCUGAUACUCAAGUAGGGGCACGGAGAAAAGGCCAUGACAACACCUCCAAGAAGGAAACGACACCCACAGGUGUCGACGCCGUAAGCAUCGGCAAGCCGAUCAGGGCUUUCGCCUCGGCCAAAGUCCGCGCAAUCCCAAAGGUUGCGGAUCAGGAAUCGAAUACGCGAAAACCAUGGUAAUCCAAGACCACAACUGCCGCAAGAAGAGCCGCACCCAGCACCAUGGGAGGUGAUCAUGGGUGCCACCAGACGCUCCACCACCUCCGACAACCACCGCGGACCAGAUCGAGCCAAGGGAGGCCGAAAUCCGCCGCCAUCAGCCUCAGCCCACCGCAGCCAGCACGAGAAGAGGCAUGGCCGGGAUGAGGCUCUGUCGCCGGGAAGACGCUGGACAACCGGAUCUAGGAGGGCCCACAGCACAACCACGUCCAGUCUGAGAGGAGGCCUGGCCGGGACGAGGUCCUGCCGCUGGGAGGACGUCGGACAGCCAGGGCCACGAGGGGUGGGUGGCCGGAUGAGGUGGAGCGUGGGAGAGGGUGGGAGGAGGGGGACCGUCGCACCUGACAGCACCGGUGACGACGGCGAGAAGAAGAUGCGUAGGCGAUUUCAAAUCCGCCGCCAGGAGGGGUCUGGGGGAGGAGCACCGCCAAGACGACCACCAUGAGGCGCGGGAGGGAGCGGAGGCACCGGAUCCGCCUCCGGAGGCGCACCGCCGGCCGCCAGGACGCCGGGAGAGGCGCCAACGGACCAACACGAUGCAAGCCGCCAGUCGCGGGGCGCCACGCGAGGGGAGCCGCGCAACGGGGGGGAGGCCCCGCCGCCACCACCAUAGUGCGAGCUUCGCUCGGUGGUGGCUACAUGGGAGUUAGAGUCUAACUUUCCAUGGUAGCUACAUGUAAGUUGGCUUAAGUUAUAGUUUGUGUAAGUAUUUUGUGUGACAAGGAACGAUUUAGGAGGAAGAAAGCUAGAGGAAGAAAACUAGAGGAAGAAGAAAGAAGGUUGGCAGUUGGAUCUUUAAUCUGAUGACCCGGAAAAUCGACCUAACCAUUUUUUUCAGACGACUUACAUAAAGCAUGUUCCCUAACUUUCACCAUCUUAUUAGAGAAGGGAGUGGGUGGAAAUUGGGAGGAAACUGAUAUAUAGAGAAUACUAAAAGCUAACCUUGACUCUCAUGACUGCCUUUCAUUUUCCAAUCCAUGCCGCCGCCACCUCAAUGGAUGUGUUUAGAUCGUGCCUGCUUCGCCAAAGGACGAGGAGAAGAUUGCCGCCGGCAUUACCGCCUCAUCGAAUUGGAGAAGAGAUGAAAACGUUGAGGCAUAUAUUCGCAUGUUCGGUCAUAGAAGAGGGAGACAGUCGCCGUAUAAGAAAGAUGAUAGAAAGGGGGAGCCAGUGGCGGGCAUGACAACAAGCUAUAGAGGACAAGUGGCAUGUGGAAAACGGUUCGUUCACGAGGUGACGAGGACACCGUGAAUUUUUGAAAAUGAUAAGUACCAAACGUUCGGUACGGGCACAUGGCAACCCGCCCUAACGUUUUUCAUGGCAACUUUAGGCCCCGUUCGGAAGUUCUUUGGCUUCCCAAACUGGCCAGCUUCUCGACCUGCCAGCCAAGCCAGCUUCACACGGGAGCGGCAAACCGUUCGGCGGCAGCGGCAACCUCUGCUCCGUCAGCAUGGGCCAGAGAGGAGAGGCACGGGCUUGUCUGAUACUGGAGGCGUGAGGUCACUGAUUUGCCCAGGCGUGUUUUAUCUAAUCGAAACGGUACGCAAGUCACUUCAGAAUGGCAUUCUAGUGUAAAUUCAUUCAACUCAUUCUUCGUCGUUUGGAGGAGCUACACUUUCGUUGCUCCACGAAAUUGCAUUGCGGGAGGGCUGGGCUUCCCAACGCUGGCUUUGCGGAGCUGAGCCGUUCGGCAUUGCUCCACACACGGAGCUGGUGAAGCGUGAAGCCAGAGAGGAUCUGAACGGGCCAUAAGUUGACGAGAGGAUGGCAAGUUAGGGGGAAGUUCCUGAAGCACGCAAGUUAUCAUGCCUGCCUGGCAAUUAAUGUUGUCAUCCUCACGUCAAUAAACUUGCCUUCGAAAGCCGUUCGGAGCCUGCAUGCAAUGGGGUAGCUAAAAGUAAACUGAAGGGUGUGCACACUUAGGAAAAUUCUACUUAAUUCAAGUGCCAUACAACAUUUGACAACCAAAAAGCACACACUCGAAAUCUGCAAAGUAUAACAUGAUAAAGAAAAAAUUUCUCAGAAUUCUAGCUACGCCACUGCUGGCACGUGCUCGUACCGUACGUUUGGUACUUAUAUGAGAUUCUUAAUUUUUUUUUAACGCCAACGUGUAUGGCGUGGCCCAGCAUUGCAGAUGAUGACUGGGUAAAUUUUGUCUUGUUAUAACUCUCACGUGGCACGCACGCAGCAAGGCGACGACGCACUUGACACGCUGCUGCCGGGAAGAAGAAGGGGAAGGGGGAUGGCUGCCGACGCAGCCUACGCGAAGCGGGUGCUGCUCGCCUGCAACGGCGGCGCCGACGCCGUCUCGCGGGGGCUCGCCGUCGGCCUCGCCAGGCACGGAUGCAGGUACUCCCUCUCACCUCGCCGCCGUUCCCCUUCUCCUCCCCUCUUCUUCUUCCUGUUGCUCGGUUCUGAAUCUACGCGCGCGCGCGUACAGGCUGGUCCUGGUUGGCGACGAGGGCGCCCUGGCCGCGACGGCGGAGGAGGCGCGGCGCUGUGCAGGUGGUGGAGAGGGUGCCGUCGCGGUGGUGGGGCUCGACUUCGCGGUCUGCGACGAGGCGGCCGUCGGCGCCGCGGUGGACGCGGCGUGGCGCUGCUUCGGGGACGGCGGGCUCCACGCCUUGGUCAACUGUUGCUCCUACGAGGGUAUGCACAUACUACUGACAGAUACUGUGAUACACAUGCCCAAUUUUCAGUCUGACUGAAUUAUACACACGCCCAAGCCCAGCUGAUCACUAUCAUCCUAAUUGAGCUUCAGAACUUCAGAUCUUCUCUCACUCUUCUAGUCAGCUUAUAUUCCACUAAUUUCAUCCGUGGACCUCUUCCAACCAUGAAAUGUGUGAUUGACUGUAUGAGCAGGGGAAGUGCAAGACUGCCUCAGCGUAACUGAAGAUGAGUACAACAAGACCAUGAAAGUCAAUGUAAUCACACCUUGGCUCCUGAUAAAGGCCACGGCGAUGCGGUUCCGGGAUGCGCAGUCGGGCGGCUCCGUGGUGUGCUUGACCCAGAUCAUCGGCGCCGAGAGAGGAUUGUAUCCGGGGGCGGCGGCAUACGGCACAAGUUUGGGCGCCGUUCACCAGCUCGUCAGAGUAAGCCUUCCUUCCUGUUGUCCAAGAAUCCUGGAUGCUCGUAGAAAUCCUGAAUGCCUACAUUGCCAUGAUGUUCUUUGUGUUUUCAGCUGUCGGCCAUGGAGCUCGGCAAGCACAAGAUCAGGGUGAACGCCGUCUGCCGCGGCCUGCACCUGGGGGACAAGUUCCCCGUCUCUGUUGGGGAAGAGAAGGCCGAGAAGGCGACCGGGGAGGUGAUGCCGCUGCGGCGGUGGCUGGACCCGGACAAGGACCUGGCGUCCACUGUGCUGUACCUGGUCGGCGACGACUCCCGCUUCAUGACGGGCACCACCAUCUACGUCGACGGCGCGCAGUCCAUCGUGCGCCCUCGCAUGCGCUCCUUCCUGUAGGUAGGUUUGUCAUGCCUGUCCUGGGACUGGUUGGCCAUGUCUGGAUUUCCACUUUCCAUCAGGAUGACUCCUGAUAUGUUGUUGUUGAAUAACAGUGGUUUGUGCAAAGAGCGCAAGUGUGAUAAUUAAGCAGUCUCUGUGAAUGCAAUAAUUAAUGGUAGAGUAAAGAUCAAAAUUGACAAAGAAUACCCAGAAGCAACAUGAGGGGCAGAGCAGGCCCCUCUUCAGAUUAGAAGUUUUUGAAGAACAAUCUGCUAAACUUUAUUAAAGGAGAGUAAUGUUUACAGGGACUCAUAAAGGAUCAUAACCAUCGCCGACGUCAAAACAGACUCUUGAAACUGAUUGUAUGCCUUAUAGUUCUGGAACGAGAAAUGCAAAGCCCACCACAUAAACUUGGAGCAAAACUUCAGGUUUAAGGAACGGGUAAUGGUGUAGAGUGAGUCAGCAUAGGAUGCACAGUUGGUUUGGUCGGUUGGUUCAC
rnacentral:lncRNA from 1 species